rnacentral:rRNA from 1 species
UACGGGGGGGGCAAGCGUUGUUCGGAAUUACUGGGCGUAAAGGGCUCGUAGGCGGCCAACUAAGUCGGAUGUGAAAUCCCCAGGCUCAACCUGGGAACUGCAUCCGAUACUGGAUGGCUUGAAUUCGGGAGAGGGAUGCAGAAUUCCAGGUGUAGCGGUGAAAUGCGUAGAUAUCUGGAGGAACACCGGUGGCGAAGGCGGCAUCCUGGACCGACACUGACGCUGAGGAGCGAAAGCCAGGGGAGCAAACGGG